UUCCUCAUGGGCAAGCUUGGAAUAGCUCAU
rnacentral:piRNA from 1 species